rnacentral:sRNA from 1 species
NNAGCGAGGAUGAGUCCCGGCACGCCCCCGCCCCGGACCCCCUCGAGUGGAUUUCCACGCGGAAAGGAUGUUGGCGGUCCCGGUGACCUGCGGAGACACGGUUGGAGCCACCUUUCA